rnacentral:rRNA from 1 species
CAAGUCGAGGGGCAGCAUGAGUGUAGCAAUACAUUUGAUGGCGACCGGCAAACGGGUGCGGAACACGUACACAACCUUCCUUUAAGUGGGGAAUAGCCUAAGGAAACUUGGAUUAAUACCCCGUAACAUUAUGAAGUGGCAUCACUUUAUAAUUAUAGCUCCGGCGCUUAAUGAUGGGUGUGCGGCUGAUUGGAUAGUUGGCGGGGUAACGGCCCACCAAGUCUGCGAUCAGUAACUGGUGUGAGAGCACGACCAGUCACACGGGCACUGAGACACGGGCCCGACUCCUACGGGAGGCAGCAGUAAGGAAUAUUGGUCAAUGGACGCAAGUCUGAACCAGCCAUGCCGCGUGGAGGAUGAAGGUCCUCUGGAUUGUAAACUUCUUUUAUCUGGGACGAAAAAGGGCCUUUCCAGGCCAACUGACGGUACCAGAUGAAUAAGCACCGGCUAACUCCGUGCCAGCAGCCGCGGUAAUACGGAGGGUGCUAGCGUUAUCCGGAUUCACUGGGUUUAAAGGGUGCGUAGGUGGGCAGGUAAGUCAGUGGUGAAAUCUUUGGGCUUAACCCGAAAACUGCCAUUGAUACUAUUUGUCUUGAAUAUUGUGGAGGUCAGCGGAAUAUGUCAUGUAGCGGUGAAAUGCUUAGAUAUGACAUAGAACACCAAUUGCGAAGGCAGCUGGCUACACAUAUGUUGACACUGAUGCACGAAAGCGUGGGGAUCAAACAGGAUUAGAUACCCUGGUAGUCCACGCCCUAAACGAUGGAUACUCGACAUACGCGAUAUACUGUGUGUGUCUGAGCGAAAGCAUUAAGUAUCCCACCUGGGAAGUACGAUCGCAAGAUUGAAACUCAAAGGAAUUGGCGGGGGUCCGCACAAGCGGUGGA